UGAAGAAGUAGAGGCGCGGCCUCCAUCAGUAGCUCAUCUUUUAAUCUAAGGAGAGACCCCUAGAGAUGAGCGAAAGGGGUAGGUCGCCGAAACUUGCGCGCUUGGUCGUCUCCUUCCUUGGCCGCGCGAGUUGGUCGCUGCGGCUAAAUCCGCAGGACUGUCACGCGCACUGCGGUGCGGUGGAGAGCUACGACAGAA
rnacentral:ncRNA from 2 species